rnacentral:sRNA from 1 species
UUUCCCCUUCUGUCCAUGGUGUAUCUGGUGGGGACACCGUCCAGCCCCAUUACAGAGAGUUUAUGAGAAAAUGUCCAGCCUCACGUAUCCUCACGGGCUUGGUCAUAGCACUCAAGCCAGCUCUGCAGCCGCCACGCGUGUGUGCCAGAGUGUGCUCUGGAGCGUGCAGGCUGUGUGCUGCGCUGGGACUCUUUGGACGAAUCUGACCUGUGGUUCCCACUGCACAGCGACAUGCUGGGGGAAUGCAGAACGAGGGACUAGAAUGGUCUUUACCAAGGCCACGCUUCGUUUCCAGUCGGCCAGCUUCUUGGUGGCUGGGUCUGGGAAGGGGCGGGAACACCCAGGUGUUGCAAUGCCAGGUCCAUCCAGGCACACUGCCUGGCCUGGCGUGAAUUGGACACACACUGACCCCAUGCCAGGGCACUGCUGGGCAGACUGGCUUCUCCUGCCCUGCCCAGUGGCCUGGGGUCAGGCUUGCCCUCCCACUGGGAGGCCACCCUGUGUCACAGUGUGUCCCAGAUGUCACCUUCCUCCCUGCACUUCUAUGUGCCGUUAUUCCAUUAUUUACUUAAAUGCUCUCUUUAAAUUGACGCAUUGCAAGAUUGAGAAUUUGUUUCAGUGCUUUACAAACAGCAUUUUCAGUUGCCAUGGAAAGGCUAUGCUGGUAAGGCUGGGAUGUGGGAGAGAGCUGGUAGGGACCCCUGCCCAGUGACAUGUCCAGGUGUGAUCAGGAGUGUCAGAGAGGAUGGAGACGAGGACAGUUUCUCAGGUGUGACUAGGGUAACUUAGUGCCCCCCUGAGGUUACCUCGCUCUGGCAGGAGCCUGGGCCCCUCCUCUGAGGACUCCUGCAUUUCACGUCUCUGGGCUGGGGGUCCACAGGGCACUGAUGUGUCCUGGGAUUUGAAAGCCCCAUCUAUGUCUGAGUCCAGUGGCUGAGCCAGUACUCCCUGGGGCCACUGAGAGGGGUCCGGGCAUGGUCCACUGUGUCUGGGGAUUCAGCAGCCCCUGGAUUGAACUCCAUAAAGCAAGUGCAAGAUCAAGGAAAGGACAAUGGAAGUGACCUUUAGACAAACGUUUGGGCAUCACAAUCACUGUCUUUCAUAGGGUGGCCUAGCCUUAGGUCUGUUGGGGUGGUGUUGGGGCAUGGUCUGCUGUGGACGCUGCUGCCCAGGGCAUGUUCUGCGUGUGUGGAGCUAUUGCAAGUCUGGUGUUGCCAGGCUUCUUAAUGUCUGCCAGAUGUGUGGGGAUAAUUUGUCUAUCAUGUGUGUGAUGAUGUGCAUUUUCCUGAUUUCUAAUGAAUUUGAGUAUCCAUUCUAUAAUUAUGAAGAGCUGAUGAACAGCUGUUGGUUGGCUCUAAAGCUGCCUGUGAAUAUCGUAUAUUUGUCCCCACUCUCUCUGUUUUGCAGCAGCUCUGAAAAAGGGCAGCCCCUGGACCUUGUCUAGGACCUAAACCCAGCAAGCCUCUGGUGCUGCUGGCCAGGCUCUUGUCUCUCUUGUCUCCAGUGUCCUGAGCCUUGCCUGCCUCCUCCUGGCUCUUAACUGGCUCCUCCACCCAUGUGGAAGGUUUCCUCCCUCCAGCACCAUCCUCAGAACUCAACAGUCCAGGCCCACUUCUGAUCCCAUAUCAACGACCAAGAUGAGAAAAACGGUGUUCUUUCCCUCAAAGAUCUAACAGCCUAGUGGGGUGGCAGCAGGGGGACUGACAGCUGUUCCCACAUAGCAUGUGCCAUAAACUAGAUUCAUGGGUGGAGUCAGGAAAGGCUUCACAGAGCAGGAGGUGGCUGAACUGAGUCUUGAGGGAUGAAUAGGAGUUCGCCACAUGGAUAUAGGAAGGCCUUUCAGGCAAAGGCUGUAGGUCUUUACAGAUCGUAGCUUGUUCAGAAAACCAAUCAUCCAUUCAUGCACUUAACAACCAUGUGUUGAGCACCUCCUGUGUUCCAGGCAUGGUUCUAGAUGCUGGGGACACAGCAGUGAGUAAGAAGGUCUCUGACCCCAUAGAGGGGUCAAGAGUAGAGGAGAGAGACAGACAAAGAGCAAGAAAGAUGAUCACCAAGGAAACGACACAGUAAGUUAGGUGCUACAUGCCAGGGAAGAAUGGGUGAAGGUGGCAUGGGGCUGGGGCAGAUGAGCAGUAGGAGAGCCACACAUAUAUAGAAGCUUCGAGGGAGAGACAGAGCACCUCACAGGCCAGUGGGGAUGGGCAGGCUAUCAGGGAUGGCACCGGGACAAGCAACUCCUUAUAUGGACAACAAUCAAAUUAGAUCCCUCUUCACAGUGUGAACUCUUCCUGGAACAUGCCAGGGUACUGAAAAACGAAAGCUAGUAUUUAUGCUAUAAUGUGGGCUGGCCCGUGCUGCCCAGCAGAACUCUCAGCUGCCUCUCAGCUGUCUGCGUUGUCCAGGGUGGCAGCCUCUGGCUGCUCAUGGUGCUGAAUGGCACUUGAAGUGUGGCUCAUGCAGCCAGGGAGCUGCUGAUUUAAUUGAACUGAAAUAGCUACCCUGGCCCAUGGCACCAUGUUGCACACACACCCCCAAAGGCUGGUGGUGCCCAUUUGCUGUGCAUCUGUGCACCUUCUCAUGGAAGUCUCAUUCCAUCAAACCACAUUAUGGGUUAUUUCACAGAUGCGGACACAGAGAGGGGAGGUCCCAUGUCCCAGGUCACACGCAGCCAGUCAGCAUUAGAGCUGAGAUGCCAAGCUCUCAGCCACACAUGUGCACUCACCUGGAACAUCUGUGGAGCUGUUAGAAUUGCUGCCACUUUUCAUGAAACUGAAGUGCAUCUUUGGGUUUGCAACUAAAGAAACCAGCUGCUACAAUGUCACUAACAUAGGAUUCUAAAGCCCUUCGGAUUUCUGGCAGUCUGUGCAUAGCACCCUGCCUCGGGAGUUGGCUCCUUGUCUAGUAUUUAAUACAUCCCCAAACUUGGCUUUAUUUUCAGCUGCCUUUGCCUUCAUUGUGGUGAAAGAUAGUGCGGGUGACUCAGAUGUGGUGGUGCAGGAGCUCAAGUCCAUGGUGGCCACCAAGAUCGCCAAAUAUGCUGUGCCUGAUGAGAUCCUGGUGGUGAAACGUCUUCCAAAAACCAGGUCUGGGAAGGUCAUGCGGCGGCUCCUGAGGAAGAUCAUCACUAGUGAGGCCCAGGAGCUGGGAGACACUACCACCUUGGAGGACCCCAGCAUCAUCGCAGAGAUCCUGAGUGUCUACCAGAAGUGCAAGGACAAGCAGGCUGCCGCUAAGUGAGCUGGCACCUUGUGGGGCUCUUGGGAUGGGCGGGCACCCAAGCCCUGGCUUGUCCUUCCCAGAAGGUACCCCUGAGGUUGGCAUCUUCCUACGUCCCAGAAGCAGCCCCCACCCCACACAUGACCCACACCGCCCUCACGUGAAGCUGGGCUGAGAGCCCUUUCUCCCAUCCAUUGGAGGUCCCAGGAGUGUCACCCAUGGAGAGGCUAUGCGACAUGGCUAGGGCUGGUUCUGCCAUCUGAGUUUGGUUUCCUGGAAUGAAAAGGCAUUGCCAUCUCCAUUCCUCUGCCCUCUUGAGCCAGCACAGGAAGGUGAGGCCCUGGGAUAGCGCGCCUGCUCAGAUAACACAGAGCUAGUUAGCUAGUAGCAACCGUGUUUUCUCCAGAUCUGUCUAGAUACAAAGGUCAGAAAUCUUAUUUUUAUACUUUUAUAUUGUGGAAGAAGAGCAUGCAACACUGACAUGUGUGGAUUUACUUGAACAUGUUCUUUUUAACAUGUAGUUAUGAAAAUCUCCUUUUUUGCCUCUACUGGUGAGGAAACAUGAGGAUCAGAGGCCACAUUUUAAAUUAUUGUUAGUGUAUUUGGAAGUCUGAAUGGGAGAUGUUUGUACCUCUGUCUGAACAGUUCCCUUGAGAACUUCCAAGCCUCCGGCAUCUUUUCCUGGUGAGUGUUUCUCCUGUGCUUGGUUGUGUAUAAUGGAGCUAACUCCUAAGCGGUGGGGUGAAUGUGGCCACCUUAGUUCUGAAGCUACUCCAGUUAUGUUCUGUUUCUUCAAGCUGUGAUCCAGAAAGAUUUUUGUGCCCCCAGAUGCCUCUUGAUAGGAGAGGCAACAUACUCCAAAUAGUUGGGUUCUUCAGGGAAGCUAUUAGAAACUCAGGUGACUUGUUAGAGCACUAACUUGGUCAGAGCCAAAUCCUGGCAAACGCUGCCUGACCUUCACUCUGUGGUUGGGGCGGUGAGAACCACUGAGGUCCAAUGAUGAGACUUGGAGGUCUGGAUCCAGUCUCUCUUUGUUUUAAUGUGACUUAGGUGCUGUCAACAUUAGCAAGAUAAUGGAAAUCACGACGCCAGUGGGUGCUUACCUCCCUGCUAGGCAUGCAGGGGCUGGCGGUUGGCAGGGGAAGGAGGCCCAGUGAGCCGGGUCCCUUAGGGGAGGGAGAGUUUGUCCUCUUUGCCCCACAGUCUACCCUUCAGGACCUUGUGGCAGUGCCAGUGUUCGGGGGGUGUCUGGGCUACUGAGUACCCACUCGGUCGUGGUUGUGCUGGCCUCUUGGGUGAGUGAGCCUGUGAUGCCCAGGAGGUGGUGUUGGCUGCAGCGCACACAAAUACUGAGUGGUGGUCUUUUGUUACAGGCUUAGCAACAAAGCUGUGCCCUGGGCAUGGGGGGCUAUAGUGUAGCUACAGUUGUGCGUUUGUGAAAUGGCUUAGCUUUCCAUGUUGCUGAGAGGAACCUGGACAUGGUCCCGGGCAUCUGAAUGAUCUGUAGGGGAGGGAGUUCAAAUAAAGCUUUAUUUUGUUCAUUUUC